GUCUAUGGUCAUGCUACCCUGAACAAGCCCGAUCCCGUCUGAUCUUGAAAUCUAAGCAGGGUUGGGCCUGGUUAGUACUAGGAUGGGAGACCACCAAGGAAGACCAGGUGCUGUAGGCG
rnacentral:rRNA from 1 species